UGUGGGUGGAGCUCUUGUUCCUUACCUCCUUCUCUCACCUGCAAUUCAUCGACGGCAAUCAGCAAAGCGGGCAGCCCAGUCCUCAACUCUCCGCCAAUUCAUCAGCUACCUCACAGUGGUAACGAGGUCUCCUUGUCUCUCGCUGUUAAUGUUUUUGUCUCCCUAGUUCUCUCGCUUCCAAUUAACCUCACCUGCAGUGUAAUCUACUGGAUGCUGGCUGCACCUGCUAACAUUCACCAAGCCUGCUUAGAAACUCCUGGAGAAACGCUACUACUCAUGGGACUCACCUGCCUGCCGUCACUCCUGGAUUCCUGGAAUUACCAGGGCGGCCCUUAGCGGCUGGAAACACAGUGAGAUGGACCAAGGCAAGUGUAGUGGAACAAAAAGUAUUUAUUUGCAGUACAGCUCUCCUUACAAACAAUUCCCUUGUCAAGCUUCUUCACAGCACAAUCAACCCUCUAAUGACAACCGGCAGCCUUAAGUAUGUUCAGCUGUCACAGAUUCCACUCUCAGAACCUUUAACUGGUGUCUGGACCCCCAGGGAAACAUUUGCCCAAACACCUUGAAGAGGACACAGGCAAGAAAGACAACCACCACAUUCCUUAAUGAGGAGCAGCUGUGCAGGGUCUGAAACAAGGCUACCAACUGAUUUUAAAAUUCCCAAUAAAUAUUCAAUAAAUAAUUAAACUUCUUUUGUGCAAAUGUUUUACUGUGCAAAUCCAUGCUUAAAGUGCAAUGCUAAAUAAAGUGCUUGAUAGGGUACUUUUAAUAAAGUGAAAGGUGUGCUCUAAAGUGUUAUACAGAUAAUAUAAUAUAAAUAAAUGUAGUAAGGGAGUCCUCUUCCUUACAGUGUGUUAGUAGUAAAGUUUUGCACUCUCUAACU